AGGGGUAGCAAUUACACCCUCUCUCACACUGGGGCAGAAGCUGACUCUGUUAGUGCAAAGACUAUCUGGCAGGGCCACAUGGAGACGCAGCUUCUGCAGCUAAGCCCAGUUAGUAACUGUGCCCUCAUUUCAGGAGAGUCAUAGUUACUCCCGCUGCUUCAUGCCAGAAGCCAGAGCCCCCCUGGGGGCUUGCCCCCCCUGCCUCACUGGGUCAGUGAAAAAGCUGUCAGAGCAGUGGUACUUCACUGACGGCUGGGACACUGGCAGGCGGGUCACCCUGCACCGCCGAGCGCGCGCCCAGUCUCCCACUUAUUCUACACCUCUCAUGUCUUUUCACAGCGCCAGACUAGAGUCAGGCUCAACAGGGUCUUCUUUCCCCACUGAUUCCGCCAAGCCCGUUCCCUUGGCUGUGAAAUCGUAAGAGCACAC